GGCUAUGUCUCAUCCGGCCAAC
rnacentral:miRNA from 1 species